UUAGAUACCCUGGUAGUCCACGCUGUAAACGAUGAUUACUAGGUGUUGGGGGACCAAGGUCCUUCGGUGCCGUCGCANACGCAUUAAGUANUCCACCUNGGGAGUACGUUCGCAAGAAUGAAACUCANAGAAUUGACNGNGACCCGCACANNNGCGUGGAGCAUGUGGUUUAAUUUCAAAGCACCGCGAAGAACCUUUACCCUGUNCUUGACAUUCCGAUGACGAGNUGAGCAAGGUCCCUUUUCCCUUUGGGGC
rnacentral:rRNA from 1 species